GAUGAACGCUGGCGGUAUGCCUAACACAUGCAAGUCGUACGAGAGUUUUCGGACUCUAGUGGCGGACGGGUGAGUAACACGUGAGAAUUUGCCUUUAGGAGGGGGAUAACAAUUGGAAACGAAUGCUAAUACCCCAUAUGCUUUCGAGUGAAACGGAUUUAUCCGCCUAAAGAGAAGCUCGCGGCUGAUUAGCUUGUUGGUAGGGUAAGAGCUUACCAAGGCGACGAUCAGUAUCUGGUUUGAGAGGACGAUCAGACACACUGGAACUGAGACACGGUCCAGACUCCUACGGGAGGCAGCAGUGGGGAAUUUUCCGCAAUGGGCGAAAGCCUGACGGAGCAAUACCGCGUGAGGGAUGACUGCCUAUGGGUUGUAAACCUCUUUUUUCAGGGAGGAAUAAAUGACGUUAC
rnacentral:rRNA from 1 species